rnacentral:rRNA from 1 species
AUUGAACGCUGGCGGCAGGCCUAACACAUGCAAGUCGAACGAGUGGCGGACGGGUGAGUAAUGUCUGGGAAACUGCCCGAUGGAGGGGGAUAACUACUGGAAACGGUAGCUAAUACCGCAUACCAUCGGAUGUGCCCAGAUGGGAUUAGCUAGUAGGUGGGGUAACGGCUCACCUAGGCGACGGUCCCUAGCUGGUCUGAGAGGAUGACCAGCCAAACUGGAACUGAGAAACGGUCCAGUGUCCUACGGGAGGCAGCAGUGGGGAAGAUUGCACAAUGGGCGAAAGCCUGAUGCAGCCAUGCCGCGUGUAUGAAGAAGGCCUUCGGGUUGUAAAGUACUUUCAGCGAGGAGGCGUUACUCGCAGAAGAGGCACCGGCUAACUCCGUGCCAGCCGCCGCGGUAAUAC